GAUGAACGCUGGCGGCGUGCCUAAUACAUGCAAGUCGAGCGAAUGGAUUAAGAGCUUGCUCUUAUGAAGUUAGCGGCGGACGGGUGAGUAACACGUGGGUAACCUGCCCAUAAGACUGGGAUAACUCCGGGAAACCGGGGCUAAUACCGGAUAACAUUUUGAACCGCAUGGUUCGAAAUUGAAAGGCGGCUUCGGCUGUCACUUAUGGAUGGACCCGCGUCGCAUUAGCUAGUUGGUGAGGUAACGGCUCACCAAGGCAACGAUGCGUAGCCGACCUGAGAGGGUGGUCGGCCACACUGGGACUGGAACACGGCCCAGACUCCUACGGGAGGCAGCAGUAGGGAAUCUUCCGCAAUGGACGAAAGUCUGACGGAGCAACGCCGCGUGAGUGAUGAAGGCUUUCGGGUCGUAAAACUCUGUUGUUAGGGAAGAACAAGUGCUAGUUAAAUAAGCUGACACCUUGACGGUACCUAACCAGAAAGCCACGGCUAACUACGUGCCAGCAGCCGCCGUAA
rnacentral:rRNA from 1 species